UACGAAGGGGGGCUAGCGUUGCUCGGAAUCACUGGGCGUAAAGCGCACGUAGGCGGAUUGUUAAGUCAGGGGGUGAAAUCCUGGAGCUCAACUCCAGAACUGCCUUUGAUACUGGCGAUCUCGAGUCCGGGAGAGGUGAGUGGAACUGCGAGUGUAGAGGUGAAAUUCGUAGAUAUUCGCAAGAACACCAGUGGCGAAGGCGGCUCACUGGCCCGGUACUGACGCUGAGGUGCGAAAGCGUGGGGAGCAAACAGGG
rnacentral:rRNA from 1 species